rnacentral:rRNA from 1 species
GACGAACGCUGGCGGCGUGCCUAAUACAUGCAAGUAGAACGCUGAAGGAGGAGCUUGCUUCUCUGGAUGAGUUGCGAACGGGUGAGUAACGCGUAGGUAACCUGCCUGGUAGCGGGGGAUAACUAUUGGAAACGAUAGCUAAUACCGCAUAACAGUAGAUAUCGCAUGAUAUCUACUUGAAAGGUGCAAUUGCAUCACUACCAGAUGGACCUGCGUUGUAUUAGCUAGUUGGUGAGGUAACGGCUCACCAAGGCGACGAUACAUAGCCGACCUGAGAGGGUGAUCGGCCACACUGGGACUGAGACACGGCCCAGACUCCUACGGGAGGCAGCAGUAGGGAAUCUUCGGCAAUGAACGGAAGUCUGACCGAGCAACGCCGCGUGAGUGAAGAAGGUUUUCGGAUCGUAAAGCUCUGUUGUAAGAGAAGAACGAGUGUGAGAGUGGAAAGUUCACACUGUGACGGUAUCUUACCAGAAAGGGACGGCUAACUACGUG